CCUACGGGUGGCAGCAGUGGGGAAUAUUGGACAAUGGGCGAAAGCCUGAUCCAGCCAUGCCGCGUGUGUGAAGAAGGCCUUCGGGUUGUAAAGCACUUUCAGUGGGGAAGAAAGCCUUGGGGUUAAUACCCUCGAGGAAGGACAUCACCCACAGAAGAAGCACCGGCUAACUCCGUGCCAGCAGCCGCGGUAAUACGGAGGGUGCGAGCGUUAAUCGGAAUUACUGGGCGUAAAGCGCGCGUAGGCGGUCUGAUAAGCCGGUUGUGAAAGCCCCGGGCUCAACCUGGGAACGGCAUCCGGAACUGUCAGGCUAGAGUGCAGGAGAGGAAGGUAGAAUUCCCGGUGUAGCGGUGAAAUGCGUAGAGAUCGGGAGGAAUACCAGUGGCGAAGGCGGCCUUCUGGACUGACACUGACGCUGAGGUGCGAAAGCGUGGGUAGCAAACAGGAUUAGAUACCCCGGUAGUC
rnacentral:rRNA from 1 species